GAAUUGACGGGGGCCCGCACAAGCAGUGGAGCAUGUGGUUUAAUUCGAAGCAACGCGAAGAACCUUACCAGGGCUUGACAUCCCCCUGACCGGUGUAGAGAUACACCUUCCCUUCGGGGCAGGGGAGACAGGUGGUGCAUGGUUGUCGUCAGCUCGUGUCGUGAGAUGUUGGGUUAAGUCCCGCAACGAGCGCAACCCUUGUCGUUAGUUGCCAGCACUUUGGGUGGGCACUCUAACGAGACUGCCGGCGACAAGUCGGAGGAAGGUGGGGAUGACGUCAAAUCAUCAUGCCCCUUAUGUCCUGGGCUACACACGUGCUACAAUGGCGACUACAGAGGGAAGCAAAGCCGCGAGGUGGAGCAAAUCCCCAAAAGUCGUCCCAGUUCGGAUUGCAGGCUGCAACUCGCCUGCAUGAAGUCGGAAUUGCUAGUAAUGGCAGGUCAGCACACUGCCGUGAAUACGUUCCCGGGCCUUGUACACACCG
rnacentral:rRNA from 1 species